AUGACUAACGCUACAGGUUAUGGGCCCAGUCAUGCAGGCCAAAGGUGGUUCAAACUUUUAUUUGACGGUGACGAGAAAAAUUAUGAACUCUGGGAAACGAGGUUCCUCGCGCAUAUGGAGUUGCGCGGCCUCAGAGAAGUUAUCUUGGAGGAGCCGCAGAUAGAUGAGGAAGACGGAGAGGCAUAUGCAGAGCUAGUGCAAUGUCUGGACAACAAGAGUUUGUCAUUGGUAAUGAGGGACGUUAAACGUAAUGGAAGAAGAGCACUGGAGAUUCUUCGCGAGCACUAUGCCGGAAAGGACAAACCCCGCGUUGUGAGUUUGUAUUGUGAACUUUCCUCGCUCCAUAAGGCUGGCAAUGAAACAAUCACUGACUAUAUUAUUCAAGCAGAGACUAUAUUCACGUCAUUGAGAAGAGCAGACGAGCAUAUUAGUGAUGGGCUUCAAAUAGCCAUGGUAGUAAAGGGGCUACCUGAUUCAUACAAGCCAUUCGUCAUGCACAUCACCCAGACAAAUGACAUUGUAACGCUCGGUGAGUUUAAAACAAAACUGCGAAGUUAUGAGAGUACUGAAAAAUAUGGAAAGAGUGACGUGAAUGUAGAAGAAGACAACGUGAUGAAGACUAGCGGGGUAACGUGGUCUUGUGGAGGAGGGAGAGGAAAGAAAAUUAAUCUGGCUGAUGUCGAGUGUUACACCUGCGGUAAAAAGGGUCACAUGGCCAGAACAUGUCCUGACGAAUCCCAGGCGAGAAGAGAGGAACGAAAAUGGGACAAACCACAGCGAGGAAGGGGACGCGGUCGAGGACGAGGCCGUGACCAUGUGAAGAAAGCUGACGGAGAGACGGUUGCAGAGCCUACAUCUUUCUGCUUCUUUAACGCGAGUGACUGUCCUACACAAAGAGGAAACAAAAAGGGUCUAAUGGUCGACUGUGGCGCCACAACACACAUGAUCAACGACGCCACAAAGUUCAAAACAGUGGACAAGAGCUUCAGACCCUUGGACCACAUGGUCGAGCUUGCCGACGGGACUAAGGUGAGCGGGAUGGCGAAGAUGAGGGGAGACGCCGAAGUCUACUUGCUGGACAGCGAGGGACAACAAGUGAAAACGAGGCUCAAGCAAGCACUCUACAUCCCAUUGUUUCCACAAAACAUCUUUUCAGUCAAAGCAGCGACAGCCAACGGAGCCGAGGUCCACUUCAAGGACGGUGAUAACUGGCUGUUCCACAAGGAUGGUACCAAGUUCAAAAUGGAUGUGUAUGGUAGGCUGUAUUACCUUAGCACAGUAGAAAAUGAAAAUGUUGAUGAAGUGUAUGGUUGUCAUGACAUUCAAACGUGGCAUAGAAUACUUGGCCAUUGUAAUUUUGAUGAUGUUGCAAAAUUAGAGAAGGUGGUUGAAGGGAUGUCUAUAAAAGGUAAACAUGAUAAGUCCAAUCAAAAGUGUGAAAUAUGCACACAGGGCAAGUUUACACAAAGCAGAAAAAGACAAGCAGACGCUAAAGCUACAACUGUACUAGAGCUAGUGCACACAGACGUAUGCGGUCCUAUAGAACCAGCAGAUAAAGAUGGAUACAGGUAUCAGCACUUUGGUCAACUUUGGUUGUUUUUAAAGUGCUUAACAAAUAAAGUUGGACUGGAUUGGAUUGGAUUGGAUGCGAUAGCAUUUACUGAUGAUUACAGUGGGAUGAUUUUUCCAUACUUUAUUAAAGAGUGA
rnacentral:lncRNA from 1 species